UCCAAAUCAUCAUCAAUCUCUAAAGAACAAAAGACAAACAAAGAAAAAUUUGAAGGCGUAUCAAGAGACAUUGAGCUGAUUGAGAUGAAGUGAGUAGACGGGGUGAGAAUCUCACCACAUCGGGUGCCGGAAUCCGUGAGCGGCGCCUCCAUCUGCGAGGCGUGCAGGACCUUCUGCGCCACCUCCAGUGUCAGGCUGGCCGCCGGCAGCACUACAUCCACCUCCUGCUUGGCCGGCGUCGGCGCAGUGGGGAGCGCGAGUGGAUCUCGAAGGAGGACAGGCAGCGACGAGGGGCGAAAUGAAGGAGGACAGCGGCGGUAGAGGCAGAGGCAGCGGCAGCGGCGGACGGUGAGGUCCGGGAGACGAGGUCGUGGAUGCAGCGGCGGCCGCGGGUGGGCGCGAGAUGCGGCCGAGGGUGGGGUAGGUGCGUGCGAGAUGCGGAGAGGAGGGGAUAAGGAUAGGAUUUGGAGCGGAGCGUUGCUUCCUGUCGGUUCAUGUAACCCCGUCAGGAGCCUCUUGGUUUCCGGUAGUGAUCGGCCUGAGCGACGAGGCCGCCGGAAGCCUCGCGGCGGAGCUCGGCUUCCCCAGGAGCCGCCUGGAGGCCAGGGCCCAGAUCAAGAUCGCGCACCGGGAAGCCAUGGUCCUCCUCCUGACCUUCCGCUACCACUGCAUCAACAGGCGCUCCUACUACCUCGCCUACGACUCCACCGACGUGUCGCUCCGCAUGAUCCCGUACCUACCGCGCGGGCUCAAGGCCACCUACACGCUGGCCGCCGUCCCCGUGCGCGGCGGCGCCGGCGCGGGCCUCGCGCUGGCCCUCAUGGCGCGUCUGGUCGGCCCCCAGGACGUCGGCAGC
rnacentral:lncRNA from 1 species